UAACUUGAUGAGUGACAGGUCUGAGUCAGAAGCGGGAGAAAAGGAAAGGCCGCUAAGAGCCUCGGCAGAUCAUGGAUGCUGGAGUUAGCAAGCCUCCGUGGGACAUGAUUGGGCUGUAUGUGGGUCUCCGGGCACAAGAGGAACCGAGAAAGCAGAAAGGAAAGCUGGAGGAACACAUUUGUGUUGAUCCAGGCACCCCAGCUGACGGAGCGUGGGAGAGAGGCGGUCCUGAUCACUGGACGGUCUUCAAAAGGAGAAGCCAAACAUUGGCAAAAUGAAGCAGCACAUCUGGUUUGUUCUGUUCUUAAACACGAUAGAUGCCAAGAAAUGAUUGCUCUGAAAUACCCCGCAGCUGCCCAGCACUGAUUGCUCUGAAAUACCCCGCAGCUGCCCAGCACUGAUUGCUCUAAAGUACCCCGCAGCUGCCCAGCAUUGCUGCUGCCCCUGUGGGAACCUGGCUCUGCAGUAUACCAUGGCAUGCUUCUGCCAGAACAGGCUUUUAAAAGAAAAUAAACUCAAGGUCACUCA